CAGUAGCCGCGGGAAUACGAGGGGGGCAAGCGUUGUUCGGAAUUAUUGGGCGUAAAGGGUGCGUAGGCGGCUUGACAAGUCUUGUGUGAAAUCUAUGGGCUCAACCCAUAGUCUGCACGGGAAACUGUCGGGCUUGAGAAUGGGAGAGGUGAGUGGAAUUUCCGGUGUAGCGGUGAAAUGCGUAGAUAUCGGAAGGAACACCUGUGGCGAAAGCGGCUCACUGGACCAUUUCUGACGCUGAUGCACGAAAGCUAGGGGAGCAAACAGGAUUAGAUACCCGCGUAGUCCCUGUCUCUUAUAA
rnacentral:rRNA from 1 species